CCGGUACGUUAAUAUAUACACAUUCAUUUAGAAUCAACUCAGUAUUUAAGACAUGAGUCAUACUUUCAAUGCCACAUUCUUUAGAUUCAGAGAUGUCUCUGACGUAAGAGGUACAUGGAAUGCUGAAAGCCAACCUUUUGAAUCAAAAAUGUAAUUAUUGUGCCAUUUCCAUGUCACACAGCCACAAAACUUGACCUGAAAGAGGACAAACUGUACUAACAGGUUCUUCGUUGUCACACGGACACAUGAGAGAAUCAAUGCCUCAAGGCAGGUAAUGCAAACAACAUAUUUUGCAUUGCCUGCCCUGAAUCAUUCAAUCUUUCAUGUGUCAGUGUGACAACGAAGAACCUGUUUAGCAGAAUAAGGCAAGUGUAAAAUCCUGUUUAAUUCCAGUACUAUAAAUAGCAUUUUAUCAACACAGAAGUUAUAGUGUUAUGCUUGAAUGUUUUUAGUUGAGCUACAUCUAAUGACAAUGCUUUCCUUUCAAAUUACACAACUGGAUUGGUAACUAUGGGCGUUCACUUAACGCCUCCUGCAACACCCAAAUUUGCAAAGCUGCUGGUUAUAGGCACAGUGUGUCUUUCUAAAACUUGUUUUGCGAAGAGGUGCUGAAGGGGAAAGAUGAAGCAGGUGGACAGGGCGGAAUUCCAUAUAUAGCUGUGGCUGCCAAGAAGGUGGUCAUUGAAGUAGAGGGUAUGCCAGGUGCGUUAGAGUUGAAAAAGCCCUCCCACUAUGGCAUGGACCAACUAUCUUCCAUUUUGAACGCAGGCCAUGGAAUCAAGUUUCCAAUAACUGGGGGUGGUGCUGGGCCUAGACCUGGAGAUGGGAGUGGAGCUGGAGCUGGGAGUGGAGCUGGAACAGGGCCUGUAGUUGGUGCUGGGCCUGGGCCUUUAACUGGAGGUUGGGCUGAGGCUGGAGCUGAGGCUGGAGCUGGAGGUUGGGCUGAGGCAGGAGGUUGGGCUGAGGCUGGAGCUGGAGGUUGGGCUGAGGCUGGAGCUGGAGGUUGGGCUGAGGCAGGAGGUUGGGCUGAGGCAGGAGCUGAGGCUGGAGCUGGAGGAUGGGCUGAGGCAGGAGGUUGGGCUGAGGCUGGAGCUGGAGGUUGGGCUGAGGCAGGAGGUUGGGCUGAGGCUGGAGCUGGAGGUUGGGCUGAGGCAGGAAGUUGGGCUGAGGCAGGAGCUGAGGCUGGAGCUGGAGGAUGGGCUGAGGCUGGAGCUGGAGGUUGGGCUGAGGCUGGAGGUUGGGCUGCACCAGGACAUGUGUCUAAUUCCCCAGAGGUUGGAAAUAAUAUAUGCAUGUACACAGAAUAUACAAAACAUUAAGGACACCUGCUCUUUCCGUGACAUAGACUGACCAGGUGAAUCCAGGUGAAAGCUAUGGUCCUUCAUUGAUGUCACUUGUUAAAUCCACUUCAAUCAGUGUAAAUGAAGGGGGGAGACAGGUUAAAGAAGGAUUUCUAAGCCUUGAGAGAAUUGAGAUAUGAAUUGUGUUUGUGUGCCAUUCAGAAGGUAAAUGGGCAAGACAGAAGAUUCAAGUGCCUUUGAAUGGUGUAUGGUGGUAGGUGCCAGGCACACCGGUUUGUGUCAAGAACUGCAAUGCUGCUGGGUUUUUCACACUCAACAGUUUCCCGUGUGUAUCAAGAAUGGUCCACCACCCAAAGGCCAUCCAUCCAACUUGACAGAACUGUGGGAGGCAUUGGUGUCAACAUGGGCCAGCAUCCCUGUGGAACGCUUUUCAACACCUUGUAUAGUCCAUGCCCUGCCGAAUUGAGUCUGUUCUGAGGGCAAAAGGAGGGAGGGGGGGUGCAAGUCAAUAUUAGGAAGGUGUCCUUAAUGUUUGUGAACUCAGUGUAAUUGUAUGUUAUGUAACUACAGUAUGUAUGUUUUUUUAUCUUAUGAAUGAUGCUUGGCUUAGUUCAAUACUCAAUUCCUAACAGAACUCAGGAUAAAACCUAGAUGCAGACAGCUAGAGUCACAGAUGUUUAUUGACCCAAACUGGGGGCAGGCAGAGGUCCAUAAUCCAGGGCAGAGUCAAUAAGAUACAAGAAAGCAGGCAGAGGUUCAUAAACGGGCAGAGUCAGGCAGGUACAGAACGGCAGGCAGGCUCGGGGUCAGGACAGGCAGAAUGGUCAGAACCGGGAAACUAGAAAAGAGAACUUGAGAAAGCAGGGAGACAAGAAAACACACUGGCAAGACAAGACGAACUGGCAACAAACAAACCGAGAACACUGGUAUAAAUACACUUGAGACAAUUAGGAAGAUGGGCAACACCUGGAGGGGGGUGGAGACAAACACAAAGACAGGUGAAACAGAUCAGGGUGUGACUAUUCCAGAUAAACAACAGCGCCUGACUUUGCACAGCAAAUGUGUACUGCAUGAUUAAAGAGUAAAAGAUAAAACAGUAAUUGUAGUCAAUGACCAGAAUCUUUGCUGGCAUAGAAAGAGUCAGUUCAGAAUUAGAAAUUGGGUAAAUGUGUGGAAAGGCAUGUAAUGAAUGAGGUGUUUCAGUGCAGACACUAUAUUAAAAACACGUCUGUUUGACAGAAUUUUGAAUGUAGCCAACAAGUUAACCUGUAUUUUGUCUUUGAUUAUGAAGAACAUACUUUAUUACAUCACUUUGUAAUUGUGUCUCCGUAUUUAUUUUCUUACAGACAUACACAGACAUCCAUGCAGUUGCAAUGAACUCCAUUAUUACUUAGCCACAACUAUUUGUUUUUUAAUUAAAAAAAAUAUUCAACACUGUGUUGGGUGUAAUUACAUUGAUAGAUCUAGUG
rnacentral:lncRNA from 8 species